GUCAGAAUGGCCGAGUGGUCUAAGGCGCCAGACUCAAGUUCUGGUCUCCAGCUGGAGGCGUGGGUUCAAAUCCCACUUCUGACA
rnacentral:tRNA from 1 species